UUGGCCCACAUAUCAGAUAUUAAACUGAUAAGAACAGAUACUACACUUGAUCUUAGCCAAAAGGCGGAGAAAGAUAUGAGUUCUUCUGCUGCCCUGCCCCUUCUUUUAUAG
rnacentral:rRNA from 1 species